GUGGGGAAUAUUUCGCAAUGGGCGAAAGCCUGACGAAGCAACGCCGCGUGGAGGAUGAAGGCCCUAGCGGUCGUAAACUCCUGUCUAGUGGGACGAACGAUUCACGGGCAAACAGCCUGUGGAAGUGACGGUACCGCUGGAGGAAGCUCCGGCCAACUCCGUGCCAGCAGCCGCGGUAAUACGGAGGGAGCAAGCGUUACUCGGAAUUACUGGGCGUAAAGGGCGCGUAGGCGUUCGUGAAAGUCCUGUGUGAAAUCCCGGGGCCCAACUCCGGAAGGGCACAGGAAACUUCACGGAUUGAGUGCAGGAGAGGAAGGCAGAAUUCCCGGUGUAGCGGUGAAAUGCGUAGAUAUCGGGAGGAAUACCAGUGGCGAAGGCGGCCUUCUGGACUGCUACUGACGUUGAUGCGCGAAAGCCAGGGGAGCAAACGGGAUUAGAAACCCUAGUAGUCC
rnacentral:rRNA from 1 species